AAUAUUGCACAAUGGGGGAAACCCUGAUGCAGCGACGCCGCGUGAGCGAAGAAUGCCUNCGGUUCNUNAAGCUCUGUCUUAAGGGNCAAAACGGACGGUACCUUAGGAGGAAGCACCGGCUAACUACGUGCCAGCAGCCGCGGUAAUACGUAGGGGGCGAGCGUUAUUCGGAAUUAUUGGGCGUAAAGGGUGCGUAGGCGGCUUUUUAAUUCAGAUGUGAAAGGCUACGGCAUAACCGUAGUUAGCAUUUGAAACUAAAAGGCUUGAGUGCAGGAGAGGAGAGUGGAAUUCCUAGUGUAGCGGUGAAAUGCGUAGAUAUUAGGAGGAACACCAGUGGCGAAGGCGACUCUCUGGACUGCAACUGACGCUGAGGCACGAAAGCGUGGGGAGCGAAC
rnacentral:rRNA from 1 species